rnacentral:lncRNA from 1 species
AACAUUAUAAAAUAGAGAGAAUAGAAGAAAGGAAAGAAAAAAAGAGAAGAUGAAGAGAGUAGACGAGAAGUGAGAUGAGAAGAAAAAAAUAGUGUGAUGAUCUGUGAGAAGAAGAGAAAUAAGAAAUAACUCAUGAGUGAGUAAAGAAGAUGAAUAUGAAAGAUAAAGAGUUAGGGCUCCGCCAAGAAAAAAGGAGAAAUUUGAAGACGAAACUAUGACACCCUCGUCUCUUUGUAAUAUCUUUAAAUUAAGAUAGAAAAUCCUCUUAAAAUAUCUCUUAGAUGUACUUAAAGAUAUUAACUGCAUGUUGCUAAUAACUGUUCAUAAUUUGCAUCUUUGGGUAUUAUGAUAAUCCUAUUUGAUUUAGUAUCGUUGAUUAUUAAGAAUACAUGUUAGGUAUUUGUACUAAUUAAUCUGAAGAGUUGGCUCGGUGAUACGAUGACAUUUUUUUAUUAUUGGUAAUUAAUUGUUUUUUAUGCUGAAUUUUGAAUGUAUUUUAUAAUGUUGUCUCUGAAUCCGUAUGAGUAUAGCUUCAGUAUUUUGUUCAUAACUUUUUUCAUAUAUAGUGUUUAUAGAUGAUUUCUAUCUCAUUAGAAAUUAGACUUGAUUAAUUUUAAAA